UACGUAGGGGGCAAGCGUUGUCCGGAUUUAUUGGGCGUAAAGAGCGUGUAGGCGGCUGGGUAGGUCCGUUGUGAAAACUCGAGCUCAACCUCGAGACGCCGAUGGAAACCCUCCAGCUAGAGUCCGGAAGAGGAGAGUGGAAUUCCUGGUGUAGCGGUGAAAUGCGUAGAUAUCAAGAGGAACACCAGUGGCGAAGGCGAGUCCCUGGACAACACCUGACACUGAGGCACGAAAGCUAGGGGAGCAAACAGG
rnacentral:rRNA from 1 species